UCACUUACCUGGCAGAGGAGAUACCAUGAUCAUGAAGGUGGUUUUCCCAGGGCGAAGCUUCUCCAUUGCACUCUGGAUGUGCUGACCCCUGCGAUUUUCCCAAAUGUGGGAAGCUCAACUGCAUAAUUUGUGGUAGUGGGGGACUGCGUUCAUGCUCUCCCCUG
rnacentral:snRNA from 1 species